rnacentral:rRNA from 1 species
AUUGAACGCUGGCGGCAUGCCUUACACAUGCAAGUCGAACGGCAGCACGGGAGCUUGCUCCUGGUGGCGAGUGGCGAACGGGUGAGUAAUGCAUCGGAACGUGCCCUGAAGUGGGGGAUAACGUAGCGAAAGUUACGCUAAUACCGCAUAUUCUGUGAGCAGGAAAGCAGGGGAUCUUCGGACCUUGCGCUUUUGGAGCGGCCGAUGUCGGAUUAGCUAGUUGGUGGGGUAAAGGCCCACCAAGGCGACGAUCCGUAGCGGGUCUGAGAGGAUGAUCCGCCACACUGGAACUGAGACACGGUCCAGACUCCUACGGGAGGCAGCAGUGGGGAAUUUUGGACAAUGGGCGCAAGCCUGAUCCAGCCAUGCCGCGUGAGUGAAGAAGGCCUUCGGGUU